CUCCCUCCAGACCCAGUGGGGUUCCUGAGGGGCUCUCUCCCUCCCCACAGCUGCAGCCCAGGCAGCAGCAGCCGCUCAGGCAGCAGCCGCAGCCAAGGCAGCCAAGUACGGUAAGUGCCCAGCCGUGCCUGUCCCCACGCCAAGGCUAGCACCCUCCCCUCCUCCCAAGCCCUGCUGUCCCGUGGCACCCAGGCUCCAAGCUCAGAGCGCUUCUCCAGCACAAGGGCAGAGCCACCUCAUGCUCAGGCCUCUGGGGCUCAAUGGCCCAGGUCAAGGUGGGGGCGGGGAGUCUCUAGCCCCAUCUUCCAAAGCCAUUCUGAACUCUUCCACCCUCUUCAAUUACCCACCACUACAAUUAUUGGGACCCUGCUCACUACCUCGACCCCAAACCAGCAAGUCGGAGGUGCCCACGCAGCCAUUCUGCUCCCUACGCCACCCUGACCCUUCGCUCUCCUAAGAACUGGGUGAUUCGAGGGACAGAGCCUGACACUCUUCACUCCUCCAGGUGCUGGAGGAGUAGGAGCAUUAGGGGGACUGGUGCCAGGAGUCGGAGAUGGAGUAGCAGGUGUGCCGGGCACAGGAGGGGUGCCAGGAGCAGGGACCCCAGCUGCUGCAGCUGCCAAAGCCGCUGCCAAAGCUGCCCAAUUUGGGUUAGGUCCCGGUGUCGGCGUGGGUCCAGGUGUCGGUCCUGGUGUUGGUCCCGGCAUCGGUCCCGGUGUCGGUCCCGGCAUUGGUCCCGGCAUUGGCAUCGGCCCCGGUGGUGUUACAGGAGUGGGGACCCCAGCUGCUGCCAAAGCCGCUGCUAAAGCGGCCGCCAAAGCACAGUACCGGGCUGCAGCUGGGCUUCCUGCUGGCGUCCCUGGAUUUGGAGUCGGUGCUGGCGUUCCUGGCUUUGGAGUUGGUGCUGGCAUUCCUGGCUUUGGAGUUGGUGCUGGCGUUCCUGGCUUUGGGGCAGGUGCAGUACCUGGAACCCUGGCUGCAGCAAAAGCAGCCAAAUAUGGAGCAGGAGGGGUCGGGGCUCUUGGUGGAGCAGGUGUCCCAGGUGGUGUGGCAGGAGCCGGACCUGCGGCCUCAGCUGCUGCUGCCAAAGCUGCUGCCAAAGCUGCCCAAUUUGGUGAGCACUGGCUGGCCCCUGGGGCUUGGUGUGGGGAGGCCUCUGACCAUGCACGGGGCCCUGAGGAGCAGUCUCCCUGGGGCCCAGCCCACACCCUGGCACCACUACACCCUGCGAGGCCCUGGGAGCUCAGGCUCUACCAGGGUCCUGCGAUGAGAACCCCACCAUCUGCAGAUAGACCUGCCAUUCCCACCAGCAGGAGUUUAACACACAGCUUCUCCACAGGCCUCGGGGGAGCCGGAGCCCUGGGAGCCGGGGGGCUCGGAGCCGGGGGAGCCAUCCCAGGGGUUGGGGGCUUCGGAGGUGAGGGUCUGCUCCGGAAUCAGAGGGUAAAGGGGGCAUGUGUGUAUGAGAGAGAGAGAGAGAGAGACUGA
rnacentral:lncRNA from 1 species